GAUUUCUGGCUUGAAACAUUUUGCCGGCCACGGUUUCGUGUGUUAGUGCUUGAUGUUCUGGCCAUCCUUCCAAUCGCUAUGUGCUUUUCUUCAUUGAUUAGUACGUGGUAUUGGAUCUUUUACUUUGAAAAAAUUAGAGUGUUUCAAGCAGGCUUUAUGCUAUGAAUACAUUAGCAUGGAAUAAUAAUUUAGGACUUCGGUUCUAUUUUGUUGGUUUUGUCGGACUGAAGUAAUGAUUGAUAGGGAUAGUUGGGGGUGCUAGUAUUCAGCGGCCAGAGGUGAAAUUCUUGGAUUCGCGGAAGACUAACUUAUGCGAAAGCAUU
rnacentral:rRNA from 1 species